UACAGAGGGGGCAAGCGUUAUUCGGAAUUAUUGGGCGUAAAGGGCGCGUAGGCGGCUUGGCAAGUGGAAGGUGAAAUCCCUCGGCUUAACCGAGGAACUGCCCUCCGAACUGCUUGGCUUGAGACCGGGAGAGGUGAGUGGAAUUCCCAGUGUAGCGGUGAAAUGCGUAGAUAUUGGGAGGAACACCAGUGGCGAAGGCGGCUCACUGGACCGGUACUGACGCUGAUGCGCGAAAGCGUGGGGAGCAAACGGG
rnacentral:rRNA from 1 species